UGAAAACAGGAUUGACAAUUAUCACAUAGCACGUAUAUUAUUAUUUUUUUUUGUUUAGGUUUUAGUUCAUUAUUUUAACACUAUUACUCUUUGAUGUUUUAAUUACUACAUGCUUAGCAUUCUAUUUGUUGUUUGACCCCUCACCAAACUGAUUUCUGUUAUAGGAAGGCUUGCCGCGCUCUUUUAAGGAAGUUGCUGUAUAACCCUUACGGGUUUGGCGCUUAAUUUGCCAAUAGUAAUAAUAAUACUUUUAAAGGAUUUAUUUUUCUGCUGCAUGUUAGUUUAUGCUAAGUAGAAGUUUGAGCCGUAGCAGAACACAGGUUGAAGACAGUCAGGAUAACAUAGCCAGCAGGGAAGCACUUACCAUGGCGUAGUGUAACAAACCAGGUAAACCGAGCCAGGUAAACCUGUUCUAACAGAUCUUCCUGACACUUUCUCUCCCCCUCCCUGGCAGACUGGAGUGCGGCAGGACGUGAAGAAGAGGAUUGAGGACAUUCGUCUGCUGGAGUCGAGAAAGUCUGCCCGCCUCGCGGACCAGGACACAGACUUCGCCAAGUUGGCAGACAUGUCCACCGACCGCAAGGACCGCAAACCCUCGCAAACCAUCGACGUGCCCGCUCCCUCAGGUGUCCAAGGGUCCCGCAAGCGGCGCAGUUCUCACUCGGAGGAGGACCAAAUGGACGAGUGUGCAGCGGCCAUGGUUCUCAUGAAGCUCUCGUGCUCACCACGAUCCCCGCUCAUGCCUGACGGUAAUUUUUAAUUCAACGUGGUGGUGGUGGCUCCGGGAACCAGUUCAAGGUAGAUGCUUACUGGUAUUGACGUGGUAUGUCUUCUCUACUACUCCACCCAUUUAUCUCCAUGACAGUCUCCCCUUUCCGGGCCCCUCUCCUCUUUCUUUGUUUUCUUCUCCUCUUGCUUUCUCUGUCUUCUAUUUCUAGCUUCGCAAUCUUUAUCUUCCCCCUCCUCAUCCUCUCUUUGCCCACAUCUCUCACCUAACUUUCGCUACUACAAGCAACUUAGAGGAUGAAAGAUAUAGAUAUACCGACAAUCAAUUACGCAAAUGGGCACACAUGCCACAUUAAGGAUACUUUAUUGCAGGCCACAUUCUGCUCACCAGGAACUUUGUCAAAGCUUGACCAUUCUCCUGGUGAGCGAAAUAUUGCACUUAUAUCUACGUACCUAAAGAACUUAGCCGUGCAGACAGUAUGUUUUAUUUCGGAAGGUUUACAAAUGCUUUUACAAACAGUAGAAUGUUUACCUAGUCACUUUCAGAGGUCACCGCCCCCGCGGCCUGGUUUCAGACUAGGCCUCCUAGUUGCUGGCGUAACCGAUCCAGCUGUCAGUAGCCGCAGUCCAACGUGUACACCACAACCCGGUUGAUCAGGAGCUCUUUUUCAAGAAUUUGUCGAGUUGCCUCUUGAAGACAGCUAGGAGUUUGUUGGUGAUUUCCCUUAUGCUGUGAAGGCAAAUCUUAAUAACCUAAGUUUAUUUAGGUACAGGCACACAUAGAGUUAUACAAAUUAUCAUACAAAGUAGAGUAGAAUAUAUGCAGUUGACUUCGGGUAAACCAGUAACUAUUUCUAAAUCUAAAGAGCAGUGUGAGUUGCGGGUUUUGGCACUGUAUGUGAUGGUUAGAGAGGUAAGGGAGAGGAGAGACAGGUUUGUGGGGAAAGGGACGGUCUGGGAGUGGCAGUAUACUGGUGAGGGAGAGGUAAGCAAGGCGAGAAGGGGAGAGGUUUGUUGUUCUUGUGGUAUGUCCUGCUCUCCCUGCUCCCCACAUGAGCCUGCAAGCCUGGUUGUGGGGUGAACGACCGUCCUUGCCUCCCUUCCCUCCCCACCCUCCAGGCGCACUCACCCACCUACUCUCCCCCCCCUCUCUCUCUCAU